UCGGGAAUUUUGGGCAAUGGGCGAAAGCCUGACCCAGCAACGCCGCGUGAGGGAUGAAGUAUUUCGGUAUGUAAACCUCGAAAGAAUGGGAAGAAUAAAUGACGGUACCAUUUAUAAGCUCCGGCUAACUACGUGCCAGCAGCCGCGGUAAUGCGUAGGGAGCAAGCGUUGUUCGGAUUUACUGGGCGUAAAGGGCGCGUAGGCGGCGCGGUAAGUCACUUGUGAAAUCUCUGAGCUUAACUCAGAACGGCCAAGUGAUACUGCUGUGCUAGAGUGCGGAAGAGGCAACCGGAAUUCUUGGUGUAGCGGUGAAAUGCGUAGAUAUCAAGAGGAACACCUGAGGCGGAGGCGGGUUGCUGGGCCGACACUGACGCUGAUGCGCGAAAGCCAGGGGAGCAAACG
rnacentral:rRNA from 1 species